rnacentral:rRNA from 1 species
AGAGUUUGAUCAUGGCUCAGAUUGAACGCUGGCGGCAGGCCUAACACAUGCAAGUCGAACGGUAACAGGAAGCAGCUUGCUGCUUCGCUGACGAGUGGCGGACGGGUGAGUAAUGUCUGGGAAACUGCCUGAUGGAGGGGGAUAACUACUGGAAACGGUAGCUAAUACCGCAUAAUGUCGCAAGACCAAAGAGGGGGACCUUCGGGCCUCUUGCCAUCGGAUGUGCCCAGAUGGGAUUAGCUUGUUGGUGGGGUAACGGCUCACCAAGGCGACGAUCCCUAGCUGGUCUGAGAGGAUGACCAGCCACACUGGAACUGAGACACGGUCCAGACUCCUACGGGAGGCAGCAGUGGGGAAUAUUGCACAAUGGGCGCAAGCCUGAUGCAGCCAUGCCGCGUGUAUGAAGAAGGCCUUCGGGUUGUAAAGUACUUUCAGCGGGGAGGAAGGGAGUAAAGUUAAUACCUUUGCUCAUUGACGUUACCCGCAGAAGAAGCACCGGCUAACUCCGUGCCAGCAGCCGCGGUAAUACGGAGGGUGCAAGCGUUAAUCGGAAUUACUGGGCGUAAAGCGCACGCAGGCGGUUUGUUAAGUCAGAUGUGAAAUCCCCGGGCUCAACCUGGGAACUGCAUCUGAUACUGGCAAGCUUGAGUCUCGUAGAGGGGGGUAGAAUUCCAGGUGUAGCGGUGAAAUGCGUAGAGAUCUGGAGGAAUACCGGUGGCGAAGGCGGCCCCCUGGACGAAGACUGACGCUCAGGUGCGAAAGCGUGGGGAGCAAACAGGAUUAGAUACCCUGGUAGUCCACGCCGUAAACGAUGUCGACUUGGAGGUUGUGCCCUUGAGGCGUGGCUUCCGGAGCUAACGCGUUAAGUCGACCGCCUGGGGAGUACGGCCGCAAGGUUAAAACUCAAAUGAAUUGACGGGGGCCCGCACAAGCGGUGGAGCAUGUGGUUUAAUUCGAUGCAACGCGAAGAACCUUACCUGGUCUUGACAUCCACAGAACUUUCCAGAGAUGGAUUGGUGCCUUCGGGAACUGUGAGACAGGUGCUGCAUGGCUGUCGUCAGCUCGUGUUGUGAAAUGUUGGGUUAAGUCCCGCAACGAGCGCAACCCUUAUCCUUUGUUGCCAGCGGUCCGGCCGGGAACUCAAAGGAGACUGCCAGUGAUAAACUGGAGGAAGGUGGGGAUGACGUCAAGUCAUCAUGGCCCUUACGACCAGGGCUACACACGUGCUACAAUGGCGCAUACAAAGAGAAGCGACCUCGCGAGAGCAAGCGGACCUCAUAAAGUGCGUCGUAGUCCGGAUUGGAGUCUGCAACUCGACUCCAUGAAGUCGGAAUCGCUAGUAAUCGUGGAUCAGAAUGCCACGGUGAAUACGUUCCCGGGCCUUGUACACACCGCCCGUCACACCAUGGGAGUGGGUUGCAAAAGAAGUAGGUAGCUUAACCUUCGGGAGAGCGCUUACCACUUUGUGAUUCAUGACUGGGGUGAAGUCGUAACAAGGUAACCGUAGGGGAACCUGCGGUUGGAUCACCU